rnacentral:misc_RNA from 1 species
GAAAUGCGAUACGUAAUGCGAAUUGCAGAAUUCAGUGAAUCAUCAAAUCUUUGAACGCAAAUUGCGCUUUCUGGAUAGGCCAGGGAGCAUGCUUCUUUGAGUCUCGUUUCUACCUCAUCUCGGCAGCUUUUUUGAAUAAAGAAAGUUUUGCUGGAUAAUGAGCGUCUCAUUCGAAAUGAGUGAGUCGCUUUAAGAAGCGUGAGUUCCAAAACUCCUAGUAUUAAAAAUCGAGCAAUCGGUUUUGCCUAUGUUUAGGUUGUCAAUUACUAGUGACGUGGAUAAAUUUAUUUUUCAACGUUACAAUGGUAGCUGAUAAUUUGAAUGUAUGGUCAAGGUACAUAAGGUAACCUGAAACUCAAUGGAAAUUAAAUUCUUUUUGAAUUAGAGCUCAAAUGAAGUA